UUGAAUUUGAAUGGUAACAAUUCCGUUAAAUCCUCGUCCUCGUUUUGAUAGUCUCACUCAUGGCCGAUCAGUGUGUUCUUUCUGAUUAGCUCUUAAUUGAGAUCACCUGUCACGCACCCCUUUAUUAAAGGUGAACACAAUGGGUUUAGUUUACUUUUCGCAUCGGCCUGUGUCAAUCGAGGUUGAGUUUGGUGAGGGUUGAAAGUUUUAGAUCUAGAUUGCAGAUCACUAUUGUCGCUUUAUACAAACUGAAAGUAUGCCUUGUUGCGUGUUUGUUUUUGUGGGCAUUUGACUGAACAGCCCAGACAAAUAUUGCUACCAACAUGGCACUUCGGAACAGACCACCGCAGUGAGUAAAAGUUAUUUUCCUUUAUUAAAUGUUGACGUUUUUGGGCUGUCUCCUCAGACACAAGCCAUGAGUAUCCCUGCUCUUUGCACCUUGACAUGCAUGUCACUGCUGUUUGUUAACCUAGCUUUGCUGAUUUGUAUCUUGUGAUGUGUGUGUGUGUGUUUUUCUUAACAGGUGUUAGAUGACUGACAAGAUCUAUGGGGGGGCCCCCUUUGGGCCCCCCCAUACCAACUUAGUCUUCAAAGGAAUCUAGUGCCAUGGGACUCCAGUGUCUUCAAAACAUCCUCGGAAUACAUGUGUAUGGUGAAUGGUCCACCGAAGGGUUGAUCUGGAAGCCACCACGGUCCACGCAGUAAUCUGCUGCGUGGGCCGUAGUGGCUUCCAGAGCCAUCUUUCGGUCUUGGUCAGGAUUUGUUACAGUUGCCCAUCAAUGUAGCAGGCUACGGGUUUCUGAAGAAGCCUGCUUUACGUAGCAUUGGAGUACAAAUAUUGUGCAAAAUGCUCAUGUAAUUGCACUAGCACUGGUAACCUGUAGAUUAGCUUAGUUUAACGUCAUUCCGUGCUGUCUGUCAAAUGAGUGGCUUACUUUAAGUCCACAAGGCCCUCUGGUAAACCAUGUUGGAACACCCCUGGACAAGGUGAUUAGUCACUGGGUGUGUCCUAAAGUUUUCUUCCAUUUUUCACUAGUUGGUUAAGGUUUGGUAGAAUUGUUUGGAUGCUAGCGACGUGAUGGCGUAUGUACAAGAGCCUACCGUGGCCAGGCCACAGUUGCGACGGCCACGGCCAGAUGGCCUAGUGUGAGUGCAACCUUGAUUGCAUUUAUAUACUGUUUACCAUUGGAUGUUUAUGCAAUUUGGCUUAAUUCAUCCGCUGUAAAGCUGCAUUUGACUAUUCCAGGGGCGUUUUGUACAGGCUUUCAAUUGACCAUGUUGACUAGUUUGUGGGAAGUUUUUUUUUUUUUUUCCUUGCUUACAAUCCAACGGUUGCGACCACUUAUGCAACUGGGCUGUGAACCUUGCAAUUCUAGUUGCAUAUUUGUACACGCAAGCUUGUCCAUUUCUAUCGUCAUCACUAACACUAGCUUCAGCAUUUCCUUGUAGGCCAUUAGCUGACUUGUGUAUUGGAGCGAUGAUUUGGGUAUUUUAAGAUGCUUGAAAACCUAAAAUAAAGCAAAAUGCGUGUCUGGUGUGCAAGAGCCAAUUUGUUGGCUUGCAGUAGUCGAGGAGUUGUCGUAGGUCGUAAGCCAUCUGGAGGUUGUGGCAAUGGAGGCUUGUGGUAGAUCUGCCAUCCAAGAAAGGUUAAUUCUUCUGAAGCAUGAUUAAUAGUUUAGUAAAUUGAAUCUAUUCAUGUAGAACUAUAAAAUCCAAGACUGCAGCCAGUAACUUGGAUCGCAAUAUGUGGAAAGUAUUGGUCUUCAUUUAUAACAACAGAAUAAUUAACAUGACUAACUGGGUUUCUUCCAUUUUCUAACUAGGGGGACUUGACUGGUGAGUCUACUGGAUUAAUCAGUAGCGGUGCUUAGCCCAACAGAUUUGAUGGCAUGACUACAGGGUGACAAAGACAAUUAUUCCCUGCCGAUCAAAAGAGACUUCUAAAACAUAUCUGCUAGAACAGUUCCUAUACUUUUUGUAUAAUUUGGUCAUGCUGCAAAUUAACUUUUUGUAGUUGCUCCAUAUUUGGUUCUUUGACAGCCUCACCUGCUAGAAAAGUCUAUUCAAAUCGGCUAAAUAUAAUGAACUAAUUUAAUAACCAUGUCACUCAUACUAGUGGCAAAUACCCUCUUUCAGUUGGUGGUUCAACACUGAUGUCUCUCUAGGCUUGAGGGAGAGCUCACAAGUCAAUUACACGAAUGUCCUGGAGCAAUUGGGAAUACACUUUUAUUUAGUCUACCUGACCAGGGACAUCUUUGAACUAUAGGUCACCUAACCCAAACUUUUCACUCUUAGGUUGUCCUUUUCUCUUGUUUUAACCCGAAAGGGCUGAAAAUAUCAACAUUUCAGGUAUUCUGUUUGGAUAUUGUGCAAAACUUGUGGCUUCACUAAUAAAAACAAUUAACAAAUGUAUUUUUCUUAAUGUGGUUAGACUAUUUAAAGAUUUGUAUGCAAAAUAUUUCUGAUCAAUUUGUGGUCAAUGAAACUCUGAAAUAUUUUAAUUUGAUAAAACACAACUAUGGGUUAAAGGUAUUUGCUUUGGGAAUCUUUUGAUAUUUUUAGAAUCUAGCUCCAUUGCCGUUAGAAAUGGUGUCUCCCAGUACUGCAAAGUGCUUCCACAAGUUUAAAAAAGAAUGGGCAGAAAAGGAACUGCCAACUAAAUCUAUUUAACAUGGGUAGAAAGUUUCCAUGGACGCUCUUGGCUGCUGGUUCCCAACACAGCUCCACUGUUAGCCUGUG
ensembl:lncRNA